GAAACAUAGAAACCGAAAGCUUCAAUAAAACUGAUGUAACACUAACAGGAAACAUACCAAGGAAUUGUCCUGAGGGUGAUGACAAGAUUGAAAUGGAACAUAAUUUUUCUGAGGCAAGAUGCACAGAUGAUGAAGAAAGCGUUACAAGUAACCAGGAUAAAACAGCUAAAUCAAAACAAAGAAAUAAAACUAACUAGGAAACGCAAACUGGACAAAAAUGAGUGGCGUUGUAAGAAAAAUAAAAAACGAACAACAGCGGCGAGGCCUACGAAGGAACGGUUUUUCGAAAUGGAACACAGCCAGAAUGAGGGAGAUUCUAUGCAUGCAUG
rnacentral:misc_RNA from 1 species